GACGAACGCUGGCGGCGUGCUUAAUACAUGCAAGUCAACUGAACUUAAGGUAGCAAUAUUUUAAGGGAGGUGGCGCACGGGUGAGUAACACGUAGGUAAUCUGCCUUUAGGUCUCACACAACCUACCGAAAGGUAGGCUAAUAUCAGAUGAUGCAGCGGCUCGACAUCGAGACAGUUGUUAAACCUUCGGGGCCUAAAGAUGAGCCUGCGUCUGAUUAGGUAGUUGGCGGAGUAAUAGCCCACCAAGCCUGCGAUCAGUAGCUGGUCUGAGAGGAUGAUCAGCCACACUGGAACUGAGACACGGUCCAGACUCCUACGGGAGGCAGCAGUAAGGAAUAUUGCUCAAUGGCCGAAAAGGCUGAAGCAGCAACGCCGCGUGGAGGACGAAAUACUUUUGUAUGUAAACUCCUGUAAGAAGGGAAAAAUAUGCAGUUUUUCUGCAUUGAUUGUACCUUCAGAGUAAGCCCCGGCUAACUACGUGCCAGCAGCCG
rnacentral:rRNA from 1 species